GACGGGGGGGGCAAGUGUUCUUCGGAAUGACUGGGCGUAAAGGGCACGUAGGCGGUGAAUCGGGUUGAAAGUGAAAGUCGCCCAAAAAGUGGCGGAAUGCUCUCGAAACCAAUUCACUGAGUGAGACAGAGGAGAGUGGAAUUCGUGUGUAGGGGUGAAAUGCGCAGAUAUCAGGAGGAACACCGGUGGCGAAGGCGGGUCUCUGGGCAACAACUGACCGCUGGAGGAAGCGGAAAGCGUGGGGAGC
rnacentral:rRNA from 1 species